rnacentral:rRNA from 1 species
UACGGGGGGGGCAAGCGGUUGUUCGGAAUUACUGGGCGUAAAGGGCUCGUAGGUGGCCAACUAAGUCAGACGUGAAAUCCCUCAGCUUAACUGGGGAACUGCGUCUGAUACUGGAUGGCUUGAGUUUGGGAGAUGGGAUGCGGAAUUCCAGGUGUAGCGGUGAAAUGCGUGAGAUAUCUGGAGGAACACCGGUGGCGAAGGCGGCAUCCUGGACCAAUACUGACACUGAGGAGCGAAAGCCAGGGGAGCAAACGGG